GACGAACGCUGGCGGCGUGCUUAACACAUGCAAGUCGAGCGGAAAGGCCCUGCUUUUGUGGGGUGCUCGAGUGGCGAACGGGUGAGUAACACGUGAGUAACCUGCCCUUGACUUUGGGAUAACUUCAGGAAACUGGGGCUAAUACCGGAUAGGAUCUCCUGCUGCAUGGUGGGGGUUGGAAAGUUUCGGCGGUUGGGGAUGGACUCGCGGCUUAUCAGCUUGUUGGUGGGGUAGUGGCUUACCAAGGCUUUGACGGGUAGCCGGCAUGAGAGGGUGACCGGCCACAUUGGGACUGAGAUACGGCCCAGACUCCUACGGGAGGCAGCAGUGGGGAAUAUUGCACAAUGGGCGGAAGCCUGAUGCGGCAACGCCGCGUGCGGGAUGACGGCCUUCGGGUUGUAAACCGCUUUCGCCUGUGACGAAGCGUGAGUGACGGUAAUGGGUAAAGAAGCACCGGCUAACUACGUG
rnacentral:rRNA from 1 species